rnacentral:tRNA from 2 species
AACGUUUUAUCACUUUGCUUGAGCGGCCUUCGUAAUGCGGGAGUCACAGGUUCGAGUCCUGUAAGCGGCACCA